rnacentral:rRNA from 1 species
GAUGAACGCUAGCGAUAGGCUUAACACAUGCAAGUCGAGGGGCAGCAUGAACAAAGCUUGCUUUGUUUGAUGGCGACCGGCGCACGGGUGCAUAACACGUAUGCAACUUACCCAUAAAACGAGGAUAACCCGGAGAAAUUCGGACUAAUACUCGAUGGUAUUAUUGGGAGGCAUCUUCUAAUAAUUAAAGAUUUAUCGAUUAUGGAUAGGCAUGCGCAUGAUUAGCUAGUUGGUGAGGUAACGGCUCACCAAGGCGACGAUCAUUAGGGGUUCUGAGAGGAAGGUCCCCCACACUGGUACUGAGACACGGACCAGACUCCUACGGGAGGCAGCAGUGAGGAAUAUUGGUCAAUGGACGAGAGUCUGAACCAGCCAAGUCGCGUGAAGGAAGACUGCCCUAAGGGUUGUAAACUUCUUUUGUGUGGGAAUAAAAAGAGGGACGUGUCCCUCAUUGUAUGUACCAUACGAAUAAGGAUCGGCUAACUCCGUGCCAGCCGCCGCCGUAAAAC